UACGAAGGGGGCUAGCGUUGUUCGGAAUUACUGGGCGUAAAGCGCGCGUAGGCGGUGAUCUUUGUCAGAGGUGAAAGCCCGGGGCUCAACUCCGGAAUUGCCUUUGAAACGGGAUCGCUUGAGUCCGAGAGAGGAUGGCGGAAUUCCUAGUGUAGAGGUGAAAUUCGUAGAUAUUAGGAAGAACACCGGUGGCGAAGGCGGCCAUCUGGCUCGGUACUGACGCUGAGGUGCGAAAGCGUGGGGAGCAAACAGGG
rnacentral:rRNA from 1 species